UACGUAGGUGGCAAGCGUUAUCCGGAUUUACUGGGUGUAAAGGGCGAGUAGGCGGGAUUGCAAGUCAGAUGUGAAAACUAUGGGCUCAACCGAUAGAGUGCAUUUGAAACUGCAGUUCUUGAGUGCAGUAGAGGUGGGCGGAAUUCGUGGUGUAGCGGUGAAAUGCUUAGAUAUCACGAAGAACUCCGAUUGCGAAGGCAGCUCACUGGACUGCAACUGACACUGAGGCUCGAAAGUGUGGGUAUCAAACAGG
rnacentral:rRNA from 1 species